UAGGGAAUCUUCCACAAUGGACGCAAGUCUGAUGGAGCAACGCCGCGUGAGUGAAGAAGGUUUUCGGAUCGUAAAGCUCUGUUGUUGGUGAAGAAGGAUAGAGGCAGUAACUGGCCUUUAUUUGACGGUAAUCAACCAGAAAGUCACGGCUAACUACGUGCCAGCAGCCGCGGUAAUACGUAGGUGGCAAGCGUUGUCCGGAUUUAUUGGGCGUAAAAGCGAGCGCAGGCGGAAGAAUAAGUCUGAUGUGAAAGCCCUCGGCUUAACCGAGG
rnacentral:rRNA from 1 species